ACGUGGGGGCACCCUGACCGCAAUGCCGCGUGAGUGAAGAAGGCCUUCGGGUCGUAAAGCUCUUUUGUCAGGGAAGAAACAGCAGCUCUAACACAGUCUGCGAAUGACGGUACCUGAAGAAUAAGCACCGGCUAACUACGUGCCAGCAGCCGCGGUAAUACGUAGGGUGCGAGCGUUAAUCGGAAUUACUGGGCGUAAAGCGUGCGCGGGCGGUUAUACAAGACAGGCGUGAAAUCCCCGGGCUUAACCUGGGAAUGGCGCCUGUGACUGUAUAGCUAGAGUGUGCCAGAGGGGGGUAGAAUUCCACGUGUAGCAGUGAAAUGCGUAGAUAUGUGGAGGAAUACCAAUGGCGAAGGCAGCCCCCUGGGAUAACACUGACGCUCAUGCACGAAA
rnacentral:rRNA from 1 species